CCAAGCAUAACUCCGUCAGAGAUGUCUUAAUGGAGGAGCGUGGGGCAAUUUCAACACACUGUGAUGUUGAUGCAUAUCAUGUAUUUGCACCAUCACCUCAGGGAAGAAAUAACACACAGGGAUUGCAACUACGCG